CGAAUUCUCGCGCGAGUGACGGCGCUCCUCCCACAGUGGGCGUGGCGCCGAGCCCUGGGGCUGCUGAGAGCGUCUCCGGGUCCAGGCUGGCGGGACUGAGCGGUGGGUUCGGUGCGAGCGUACCUUGACGCUGUCAGCCAGGACCGGUCUCGGGCCACCCACAAAUCCUUAAGCACACUUUCUCCCCACGCUCCCAGUUACCGUUAGGCAAAAGCGGACAGCGUCUCCGGCCCAGCCAAAGCAGCGCCUGGGAGACUCCUUCCAGGAGCGCGUUUCUGUCAGCAGAGCAAACACCGGGGUCCCCUCCGCGGGGUCCGCCCGCAGGUCCUGACAGCUCGAGGCGGUGACCGGCGGUAGUCCUGAGGGCCCGCUUGGCUCCCCCGCGGCCGCCCGCCGCUAGAUUUCAAACGCUCUAUUGGCGGGAACCCGUGCACCAGCUGAAACGCCUGCGGUGGCGCCACCUCUGGGACCUGGAGAGUCACCAGGAUGGGACUCGUCAAAGACAUAUAUAUGUGUACCAUGUACAUGUCUGGUGCCCAAAGAGAUCAGAAGAAGGUGUCACAUUCCCUGGAACUGGAGUUAUGGAUGGAUUUGAGAUACCAUGUUGGUGCUAGGAAUUGAACCCAGUGAGACUGGAGAGAUAACAGUAAGAGCACUUGCUUUUCUUCCAGAGGACCUGAGUUCAGACUCCAACACCCUCAUCAGGCAGCUCACAGAUGCUUGUAACUCCAACUCUAGCCAUAUACAUACCCUUAUACACAAAUACAAUCUUUUAAACAAACUGUAUAUAUUUUAUAAGAUUGUAAAAAUUAUACAAUAAAUCUCACUAUUUAUGAAAAAAGAUAUGUAUUCCAUUACCUUCUCUUAUUCUCCCUCCCCAUAGAUCUAUACUUGCCCUCUCAUAAUUCCC
rnacentral:lncRNA from 1 species